rnacentral:rRNA from 1 species
AACGGGUGAGUAAUAUAUCGGAACGUGCCCAGUCGUGGGGGAUAACUGCUCGAAAGAGCAGCUAAUACCGCAUACGACCUGAGGGUGAAAGCGGGGGAUCGCAAGACCUCGCGCGAUUGGAGCGGCCGAUAUCAGAUUAGGUAGUUGGUGGGGUAAAGGCCCACCAAGCCAACGAUCUGUAGCUGGUCUGAGAGGACGACCAGCCACACUGGGACUGAGACACGGCCCAGACUCCUACGGGAGGCAGCAGUGGGGAAUUUUGGACAAUGGGCGCAAGCCUGAUCCAGCCAUGCCGCGUGCGGGAAGAAGGCCUUCGGGUUGUAAACCGCUUUUGUCAGGGAAGAAAAGGUUCUGGUUAAUACCUGGGACUCAUGACGGUACCUGAAGAAUAAGCACCGGCUAACUACGUGCCAGCAGCCGCGGUAAUACGUAGGGUGCAAGCGUUAAUCGGAAUUACUGGGCGUAAAGCGUGCGCAGGCGGUUAUGCAAGACAGAGGUGAAAUCCCCGGGCUCAACCUGGGAACUGCCUUUGUGACUGCAUGGCUAGAGUACGGUAGAGGGGGAUGGAAUUCCGCGUG